GAUGAACGCUAGCGGCAGGCUUAAUACAUGCAAGUCGUGGGGCAACGCAGUGUAGCAAUACAUGGGCGGCGACCGGCAAACGGGUGCGGAACACGUACACAACCUUCCUUUAAGUGGGGAAUAGCCCGGGGAAACCCGGAUUAAUACCCCGUAACAUUAUGAAGUGGCAUCACUUUAUAAUUAUAGCUCCGGCGCUUAAUGAUGGGUGUGCGGCUGAUUAGAUAGUUGGCGGGGUAACGGCCCACCAAGUCUGCGAUCAGUAACUGGUGUGAGAGCACGACCAGUCACACGGGCACUGAGAAACGGGCCCGACUCCUACGGGAGGCAGCAGUAAGGAAUAUUGGUCAAUGGACGCAAGUCUGAACCAGCCAUGCCGCGUGGAGGAUGAAGGUCCUCUGGAUUGUAAACUUCUUUUAUCUGGGACGAAAAAGGGACUUUCUAGUUCAACUGACGGUACCAGAUGAAUAAGCACCGGCUAACUCCGUGCCAGCCGCCGCCGUAA
rnacentral:rRNA from 1 species